rnacentral:rRNA from 1 species
CAAUAGCGUAUAUUAAAGUUGUUGCAGUUAAAAAGCUCGUAGUUGGAUUUCUGGUCGGAAGCUCCUGUCCUCUGAUGAGCGUACAAGUGCGUCCUACCAUCCUUCUGUUAACCUUUAAGGCUUUCGCGGCUUUCUAGGGGCUCAGAUAUUCUACCUUGAGAAAAUUAGAGUGUUUCAGGCAGGCUAGCGCCGGAAUACAUUAGCAUGGAAUAAUGGAAUAGGACUUUUGCCUCUUCUGUUGGUCAUGAGGCUCGAGUAAUGAUUAAUAGGGAUAGUUGGGGGCAUUAGUACUUAACUGUCAGAGGUGAAAUUCUCGGAUUUGUUAAAGACUAACUUAUGCGAAAGCAUUUGCCAAGGAUGUUUUCAUUA